AUGAAGGCAUCAUUCCACUUCAUAGAUUGCAUUUGCAAACAUUGGCAACCUCGGUAACAACAUCCAAUGCAUUUAGCACGAACAAUGUCUCCACUAAAAGUACGUGGAGUUCACAGCUGAAUAAUAUCAAACAUUCAUAUGAAACAUGCAAUGUUGAAAAUAAAUAAGAAAAGAUCCUAUAGACUGGAACUAUUUUUCUCUAUGAAGCUAAAAUCUAUACAUAAUCCAGAAUAUUUGUUCAUUCAAAGAUAGAUUCAUCAACUGCUCCUGACUCCUCCAGUGCACUCCCUUUUCAAGUCCUCAACUAACUAGCCACUCCUAGCUCCUUUAAUGCACUCACUUUUCAAUUCCUCACCACCCUGAAAAGGAGGAUGAACACCAUUUACAUGAACAUAUGUUUAUAGAGAACUACGAGAUAAGAGAUUCUUUGAUGAAAUUAUAAGAAAUGUAUCAUACCAAUGCUUUGUGGUUGUGCUGGAGGAGUUGGCUUAACUAUUUUUACCUAAAAACAAGAAAGAUUCUGGAUAAAUAACAUAUCACACAUGUGCAAAUUGGAGCAUACACAAUGCUUGAAUGAAAACAUACUUACAUGUGAGCGAGGCCAAGCAAUAAUAGAACCCAUAGCAUCCCUUACUGUUUGGAAUUUUUCAUAUGGUCUAACUAGUUUCUCAUCUCCUAGAUAUGUACAGCCGCGAACAAGAACUGCAACGUAUUGCACUCCAAGCAUGUUUCCUCCAACCACAUAUGUUUUCUCUUUACUCACUAAAGUCCCUUUGGCUACGAGUUUGUCUUUGUUUCUCGAGUUCAUUGAAUACAACACAACUUCAACUUUAUCCAUUUUUUGAAGAAAUGAAACAUUUGUUAUUGAUGAACUUGAGAAGAUUUCAUUUUACACAAAUAAGAACAAUUUCACAAAUAAUUAGACCAACUAUCUAUUAUACAAUCAUUGUCAUUUGGAUAUGUAGCCUAUAUGUACCUGCUUAGUGACUUGGUGAUGACCACAUGGCUUGGUUGCAUUGCUAUUUUGAGCAUGAUCAUUCUGCAAUUAAAUAGGAAUACGCGUGAAGGGAGACACAUGAUCAACUACAAUCAAGAAUGAUAGUUUUGAAGAGUUCCGAUACAUGCACCAAGGAGCCUGCACCAAGGAGCCUUAUUCUACACGUACUUUUGGUCUGCACAUUUCGCUAUCAAAUUAGAUUAAGGUCUUAUUACAAAAUUAUUUAUUGUGAAAACUAAGCAUGAAUUCAGUAUGCAAACAAAUGAAGUUGACGUCAUGUAAAUUUAUACACUUAAAACAUAAUUCACCUAAUAUUCAAGGCCAGGUGUUCCUCAACAUCUAUGCAGGGUUUCCACCAAAAAGAACAUGUAUGAAAGAUUGGUAUUUUAUCAGUACUCAUGUAUCAUUUCAGAAGUGAUUAAUUAGUUUAUUUGAAUAGGAGAUCUGUUGGAGCAACAAUGAUAUGUGUGUGACUAACUUUUGGUUCCAUUGGGCCAAAUCAUGUUACUCUUGUAUGCAAUACAAUUUUUAAUACUUGGUUAAAUCUGACUUAUGAUCUGCUAGUAGUGUCACGAUAGUGCUUAUCAAAAUGGGAUUGGUAUUUCAUAAUAAUGUCAUUUACCUUGCACUCAAAUACAAAAUUAGACAACCUUUUGUACAAUCAUUGUCAUUUAGAUAUGUAGCAUAUGUUUACCUGCUUAGCGGCUUGAAGUCAUAAACUUGGUUCAGGACCGCCUUGCUGCACGAGAAGAUUAUUUUCAGCAUGGGCAUUCUGCAAUUUAAUAGGAGAAGGUGCCAUCGGCAUCAUUGAUAAAAAGCUGGAUAAAUCCUUGCACGUAGGUUAAGAUUACUAGGACGGUAUAUACGAACCCAAUCAGGUUAUAGUUUCUAAUUAAAGGUUAAUAUUUCACAAAGUUUUAACUUGAUGAUAAGAUAGCUUUCCAAUAUUUGACUAGUAUAAGGGUUCAAUCAAUAACAAAAUUACUGGCAGGAGAUAAUUGAUAACUAAGUGCCGGUUAGUUGGCACACCUUAGUGAUCACAUGUUCAUGUGGUAAAGGCGCACUGCCACAACCCUCUUUUGAUUUGGUUUGUUGCAGCUCCUAUUAAAGCAAUAGUUGUAAGACAUUAGAAUGGACCUGCAUUAAAUAGUACAUGAAAAGCCCAUUACAUUACCUGCAUAGUAGUUCGUGGCUCCUGCACAUCGAGACUUACAAAUUAUCUUGAUUUGGCUAGUGGAUUCAUGAGAUCUUCCUGGUACUAUAUUAUCAAUCUCUGGAGGACCUUGCAGAUUUUCUUCACCAAGCUGCACAUGUUCUGGAUCAUGCAUUGUAAGGUCCAAGUCCCGUAGUCGUCUUGGUAUCCUUGCCAUUGUUAAU
rnacentral:lncRNA from 1 species